GGGGAAUAUUGCACAAUGGGCGAAAGCCUGAUGCAGCAACGCCGCGUGAGGGAUGACGGCCUUCGGGUUGUAAACCUCUUCUAGCAAGGAAGAAGCGAAAGUGACGGUACUUGCAGAAAAAGCGCCGGCUAACUACGUGCCAGCAGCCGCGGUAAUACGUAGGGCGCAAGCGUUAUCCGGAAUUAUUGGGCGUAAAGAGCUCGUAGGCGGUUUGUCACGUCUGCUGUGAAAUCCCGAGGCUCAACCUCGGACCUGCAGUGGGUACGGGCAGACUAGAGUGCGGUAGGGGAGACUGGAAUUCCUGGUGUAGCGGUGAAAUGCGCAGAUAUCAGGAGGAACACCAAUGGCGAAGGCAGGUCUCUGGGCCGCUACUGACGCUGAGGAGCGAAAGCGUGGGGAGCAAAC
rnacentral:rRNA from 1 species